ACUAGAACUGUCUCAGUAUACCGGGGUGUAUUUACAGAAGGAAUUAUUCAGUAGUUAUUGUGAGAUUUGUUUGUAUCUAUUGAUGAUUUGACAUCUUUACAAUGUAUACAUAUAGAUUUGACAUCUUUACAAUGUAUACAUAUAGAUUUGACAUCUUUACAAUGUAUACAUAUAGAUUUGACAUCUUUACAAUGUAUACAUAUAGAUUUGACAUCUUUACAAUGUAUACAUAUAGAGGGAUUGUCCAUACCUGACCCCAGAGGUUGCUAAUGGUUCCAGGAAAUUUAUGAAAAGUGUUGACUAUACUAGGGUCUUUAAUUAGACCAAUUUGUUUUUUUAGUGAUUACUUCAUAUUUACAUUUAUUACAAUGUUGUGGAUUGUAAGUUCUGUUUGCAGUGCUGAAUAUCCAUAAGUAUUUGAAGUUUUGUCUUUGAAUUGAAUUAUGUGUGAUUGUACUUUUGAAAUUUGAACAUUACUAUGAUUAACUAAAUUUACUUGGUAAAGUGAGUAAUGAAUGACACAAUCUAUUGAUUUUAUGUUUCACAUAAAUGGAGUAAACCUACUGGUCGCUUUUAUGAAGAUCCAACAUAUUUGGACACUUUAUUUAACUUGAAAAUUUUGUCUGGAAUCAAAGAGGCUGGCUGGGUUAAUGAGGCUCCUCUGCAUGUGCUCAUUUUUGCAUGAAUUCACAUUUGUCUCAUUGCUUAUUUACACCCAAAAAUUUCAGACACCUAGGUGGUCAAUUUUGAGCAGUCCAUUUCAUAAUGAAAUUCUAUAUGGCUAGGAUAUUGAAAUACAACCUUGUUUCAAAUGUAAAAAUGACCCAGAAUGAAAAGUGAAGAUAACGAACAGUGAUCAAUCCCAUAAGGAACUCACAAUUAGGGGUAGGGCAAACACGGAACCCUGGACACCCCAGAUUGAGUGGGAUCAGGAGGAGACUAAGCAUCCUCUGUUGAUUGGUCACACCUGCUAUAAGCCCUUUAUCUUGAUUAGGAGAAAUUCCCCUGCUAGUCUUCUCCCUGGUGCCAUUAUCAAUAUUUUCAGAGUCAGCUAAGUUUUAUGCUUUAUAUGUGAUAUGGAAAGUGAAGAUAAUGAACAGUGAUCAAUCUCGUAAUACAUUUCAGUAAUGAGUGUAUAGCAUAUUAUAUCUACUGUAUGCAGAAGAAUUUUGCACUGUUUGAAAUCAAUUUUGCUCCAUUUUGAAUUUAGUCAACAUUGCUUUCUGCUUCUUCAGAAGAAUGAGUAAAUUUCAAUUCAGCAAAUUUUUAAUUUCGCCAUGUGGGAUGAGGACGAAAUGGGCAAAAAUAAAAUGGGUAAAAAUUUUCCUGUCUACUUUGGAUGAUUUGUAACCAGUGAGACAUGCUGAUCGAAUUACCAAUGAAAAAUCUAAAUAUAAAAUCAAUUAAAUGAAAAUGACACAAGGACUUUAGACACAGCAUUACAUAUACUUGGGCUUGAAAGGAACUCUACCAAAUGUACGUCUAGAUAUCAUCUUUUUACUUCCUUCAUUUCAUCAAAAUAAUUAUCCCUCUGUUUAUUCAUAGGAAUAUCAUGAUUUGAAAAGCUUGAAAUCCAUAGCAUGUAUAUGUUUUUGUUUAAUAUUGUUUGUAACGAUGAACAUUCUUGAUUUAGUGAAAGUGACUCAGUUACUAUGUGAUAAGGAAAUUUGCACUUUCAUUAACAUACUUUAACCCUGGAUUCCUUAUUUGGAUGGGAGUUAGUACUCCAUUAUUUGAAAUGCAAGGAAAUCUUCCAAAAUUUCAUGUGUUGCGUAGCAACAGGUCAAGGGAUUCCCCCCUCAAUUUGGACCCAAGUCCGGGACAGGACAAUGUUAACCAUGAUUGUGAGUUGGAGAAUUACAGACUGUGUGCCGACGGCAGUUGUAUAUCUCAAGUGGACCUCUGUCCUGAGGAGCAGUUGAUGAACCAGAACACUAUCCUGAUAAUGAUUGUGGUGGGACUGGCGGUAGUCAUCUUUCUCAUUGUAUUGUACUGCUUCCAGCAGAGAAACAGAAGUCCAUCUCAUUCCAGAGGGCGGUCAGUUAUGAGUAGUGGAACAAAUGGUGAUGAAGGAGACCAGAUAUCAUUAUUCUUACCACCUCCCACCUACGAUGAAGUGAUCACAACAAACUUAUACCCUCCCACGCCUCAGAUGUUACAAAGAAGGGUUUGUGUUACCAGUAAACACAUAGAUUACAAAUAUCAUUAUUCUUACCACCUCCCACCUACGAUGAAGUGAUCACAACAAACUUAUACCCUCCCACGCCUCAGAUGUUACAAAGAAGGGUUUGUGUUACCAGUAAACACAUAGAUUACAAAUAUCAUUAUUCUUACCACCUCCCACCUACGAUGAAGUGAUCACAACAAACUUAUACCCUCCCACGCCUCAGAUGUUACAAAGAAGGGUUUGUGUUACCAGUAAACACAUAGAUUACAAAUAUCAUUAUUCUUACCACCUCCCACCUACGAUGAAGUGAUCACAACAAACUUAUACCCUCCCACGCCUCAGAUGUUACAAAGAAGGGUUUGUGUUACCAGUAAACACAUAGAUUACAAAUAUCAUUAUUCUUACCACCUCCCACCUACGAUGAAGUGAUCACAACAAACUUAUACCCUCCCACGCCUCAGAUGUUACAAAGAAGGGUUUGUGUUACCAGUAAACACAUAGAUUACAAAUAUCAUUAUUCUUACCACCUCCCACCUACGAUGAAGUGAUCACAACAAACUUAUACCCUCCCACGCCUCAGAUGUUACAAAGAAGGGUUUGUGUUACCAGUAAACACAUAGAUUACAAAUAUCAUUAUUCUUACCACCUCCCACCUACGAUGAAGUGAUCACAACAAACUUAUACCCUCCCACGCCUCAGAUGUUACAAAGAAGGGACAGGGUAGUGUCCAAUGAGGAACCACCAAUGACUCCUCCCCCAAACUAUGACACAGCCCUAGUUCUCCUAUCCAAAAGCCACGAGUCAGUGUUGUCACCAAAUUGUGAUGCAGUGGCCAAGAGACCUUCUGUCAGUAAUGGUCAUCGAAGGAGUCUCUCAGCUGACCACUUAAGUCCCAAUUCAGGAGACACUAGUGUUCAGAUAUUUCAGUUCAACGAGACUGCUGAACCUAACCCUGACAAAACAAAUCUCAACAUGAUAUCUGAGGUGAGGUGACGAACAUAAAAUGUUCUUAAGGAAUUUUUCAGUGGAUCAUUCAGCAUGGAUUCAUGAAGAUAUUCAGCAUAGGUUCCAAGAAUCCGAAAGAUUUGCCAAAAUCCGUAUGACUUGACUUCAUAGGCUACAACAGGUGUGGCAAAAUAUGGACCUGAUUUUCAUAAAUUAAUAUUUUAUGUGUUUAAGAUUUACGUUAUCAAGAUGAAGUUAUUUUGUUAAAACUUUAUUACAGAAUACUAAUUCUAAGGACAUACAGUACUGGUAUUGUGUAAAUCAUGCCAUAUGUGAAAGAGAAAUUGAGUGUUAAGAAUAGUGUAUUUCACCUGAAAAUUUGUGUGUAUUUUUGUAUCUCAGAAGUUCAAUGGUGGAACUUGUAAUUAAUACCAUUUUUUGCCUGGACCAAUAUGAUGCAUUUAAUGUAUUGUUGAUGUUUUUGUCAAGACUGUGAUCUAUUGAUUUUGUGAAUCAAAAUACGCAUUACUGAAGACAUUAUUGGGAACUAUAAUUUUGAUUUUUUAUACACUAUGUACAUUCAUCUUUUACUCAUUCAUCCAUCCAUCUUUUCGCAUUUUUGUGUCCAGAUCAUAUCUUUCUCGCUGUGAGGCAUAGGACCGUCUAACUUGGUCAGUUGAUUCAUUUUGGGGGAAGUUGUGUUUCGAAGUUACUGUGGCCUCCGUCUGGAAUCAUAUGGUUAUACAUGCUCAAAUCUUGUCUGGAUCAUGUCUUUCACACUGUGAGGUGUUGGACCAUCAAACUUGGUGCUUGUAUCUUCUGGGAAGGGGGGGGGUGUCGUGAACCAAAAGUAGGUCACUCACUGUAGCCUCAUUUUCGAAUUUUAUGGUUAUUCAUACACAUGUACCAGUACAAAUUUUGUCUUGAUCACAUCUUGCUGAUUCUUGCACAUCAUGAGGCCCAGGACUUUUAAAUCUGGUCACUUGAUGCAUCGUGGGAGGAAGGUGUGUCGUGACCCAGAAAUAUGUUGCUGCAGUCUCAUUUUGGAAAUGUAAUUGACAGCUUGUGAUUUCAAACAUGCAAAUCGACAUGCAUCCCGUACAUUUAGCUACAGAUGAGUAUGUCGUGUAAACUAGCAGUACACUUUGUUUGUACAUGUGCAAGUACAAAAAACAUGUAUAUAUUCCUCCAAAAAAUGUUUGAAAUAUAUGGUGGUUUUUCUGUGUGCCUUUUACAGAUUUAAACUAUUCCUAGUUAGAAAAAGAUUAUAUGCCAUAAGAUGUAUACCACAUAUAUUUUAUAAUAAUAAUGAUAGAAUUUAUAUAGCGCUUUAUAUAAAACAAACUCUAAGGUGCUUUACAAUGGUAAGAAGAGGAAUGUGACAAUAAAACACAAAGUGACAAUUAAAUGAAAUUUAAUGACAGUAUAUCAUAAGAUCUUGUAUAUUUUCAAACUGCUGAUCAAAUGUUCCAUGCACUAGAAUAGAGAGAUGUUUAUUUAUGAUAAAGGUAUUUAUGACUUGAUAGAGCUUUAAUAUUUUCAUCAUUUUGUUUUACAAAUAUGCAUCCACAUUAGGGGAUAAUUGGAACAGAUUGUUGAAACUCAGUUGACAAUCAUCAGUCAUUUGGAUUGCAUAGUAUUAUUAAUUUACAUUGGGUUUUUUUUUUUUUUGGUUUGGGGGAGGGGUACCAUAAAUGGAAUAAAAAAACAGAUGUACUGAAAAGAUUUGCCUCUGUGACCAUAUGAAUAAUUUUAUCCUUCAUAUGCACCAAUGUCAUACAGGUAAAGUUUGUUACAGUUAGUAGAUUAUCUUCCAAUAUUAAGCAAUCUUGUUUGGAAAUAGUUUGAAAACUCGGUGCUUUUUAGAUUUGUAUUUGUAAAAGGGAAAAUGUGCAAUUCAUAGACAUAAUAUCUAAAUACACGUAAUGACCUGAUUUUCAUAUAAGUAAAGGAACUACGCAGUUUAUGUAGGAAUAGUGAUCUGUUUUGCACCGAGCCAGUCUUCAUUGUGUAGAGUAAUAGAAAAAAAAAUAGAUGUGGUAUCAACAAUAUUUAUAUUUACUACAUGUAGUAUUUAUUUUUACCAAUGGUUUGUCAAUACAUAUAAUAAUUCUUUGCUAGUUCAAUAUUUAUGUAUCCUCACAAUAUAUAUAUAUAUAUAUAUAUAAAGAAUAAGCAUCUUGCUUGUGUUAUAGCGGAUUAUAAACCAUGGAAGCCUGAUGUAAGUUUUGUAUAACUGGCUUCCCUGAUGAUACAAUUUAUCCCAUGUUUCAUUGUUUAUAAUCCCCUAUAAUAGAAACAACCAAGAUGUUUAUUCCUCAAACGUUUUCCCCACUAUGUACAACAGAAUCAUGUCUAUAUCAUGUAGAUACACUCUCAGCUCAAUUCAAAUGUGAUGUCAUCAUUCUCUAGCGUUAAGUCUUGAACUAAACACGAGUUUCUACCAGACAUGAUGUUGUUCCAUUUCGGUCACAAAAAUAAAUAUAUGAAACAAGGUAUUCUUAAAACAUUAGUAUUAUAAAUAGAUACAGUGGAUUCGUGAUCAGAGCUCCAUCUGAUCAUGUGACUGAAUGAUCCUUGUCGUGUAGAUGUUUUAAAAUGAUAUCUUAUCAGCCUUGGAUAUGUUUUACAGUUGCAUAAAAUUCAGCUGGAUUGGUAAGAUUAAAAUGUGUACAACAUGUAACUAUUGUUCACUGUGCUCCUUUUUACAUGUAUAUAAAACUUGAUCAAUUUGCUUUCAAAACAUAUAGUCAGAAAUAAUCAGAUUUGCAGUUUCUUUUUUGUGCCAAAUAAUUUACAGAAAAUCCCAAAUAAAUGCUAGUUUAUAUAUAACGUACUUCUCCAUCCCACACUUGUGUCAUCUGAGGCAUAGCAGCAACACUAGUUGAUUAAUACCCUUUAUCAUUACGAUCUUUAUGUCUCCAUUUUAAAUGACAGUUAUUCUACCCAGUAUUUACUACCACCAGGCUGUAUAGGAUGUUUAAAGUACAGGUUCUUUUAUGAUUAAAAGAACAGAUUCUAUAUGAAGUUUUGAAGAUGAAGUAGUGUAAAUUAGUUUUACUUAUGGAGAUACUUAUUUUCUCACUAGUCUUGUGAUUUUGAACUUGAGGGGGGGGGGGGGGGAUCAACUUCUCAUGAUAUGUGGGUUUUUUUUUGGUGCAAUAUCUAUGUGUAUAUAAAUGUUGAUCUCGUGAAAAUAAAGUCUCAUGGAAAUUUCCUGAUUUACAAUAUAUUGAAUGAAUCAGUAUCUGUCUGAACUGAAGCAUAAUAUUUCAUAUAAGUAUAAUAAUGUUUUGAAUGUUUGAUUUUGUAAUUUAUUGUCAUCAUAUGGUGUGAUAGCUAGUAGAUGCUGUACUUAUGACUGCCGGGUUACAACUAAUAUGUUAUUUCCCUUCUACAUGUACUUCGUUUUCUUAAUUUACUUUGCAUGUAGUUAUAUACAUUUCUGUAAAUGUUAUACAUGUAUAAGUUUAAUGACUCAAUUUGCAAGGAUGCUCCUUUAAUGCAUAAAAGAGCUAUAUAUAGAUUUUGCUUUCAUAUGUGUGUUAAAGCAAAUAUUUAUGAAGUAGUUGUGCAUACUGAUUCUGAAUGAAUUAUAUCUGUAUAUUUUGUGUGUAUGUUAGUAUGUGAUGGAAUAAGAAUGCCAAAGUAUAAACAGAUCCAUUGUUGUAUUUUAUUAAAUUGAUAUUUUCUCAAGUCUCA